ACACUCCGGUUCCCUUUCCCAUGCAAUCUCAACACUGGUCUUGAUGGUUGUAAAGGAGGGAGCGUGCUGAAGCUGGCCUCACAGCUUUGUAGUCUGGUAUAAGCACGUGGGCCAGAUUCAAACAGGG
ensembl:snoRNA